rnacentral:rRNA from 1 species
GUUGAACGCUGGCGGCAGGCCUAACACAUGCAAGUCGAGCGGAUGACGGGAGCUUGCUCCUUGAUUCAGCGGCGGACGGGUGAGUAAUGCCUAGGAAUCUGCCUGGUAGUGGGGGACAACGUUUCGAAAGGAACGCUAAUACCGCAUACGGCCUACGGGAGAAAGCAGGGGACCUUCGGGCCUUGCGCUAUCAGAUGAGCCUAGGUCGGAUUAGCUAGUAGGUGAGGUAAUGGCUCACCUAGGCGACGAUCCGUAACUGGUCUGAGAGGAUGAUCAGUCACACUGGAACUGAGACACGGUCCAGACUCCUACGGGAGGCAGCAGUGGGGAAUAUUGGACAAUGGGCGAAAGCCUGAUCCAGCCAUGCCGCGUGUGUGAAGAAGGUCUUCGGAUUGUAAAGCACUUUAAGUUGGGAGGAAGGGCAGUAAGCGAAUACCUUGCUGUUUUGACGUUACCGACAGAAUAAGCACCGGCUAACUCUGUGCCAGCAGCCGCGGUAAAAC